rnacentral:rRNA from 1 species
UACGGGGGGGGCAAGCGUUGUUCGGAAUUACUGGGCGUAAAGGGCUCGUAGGCGGCCAACUAAGUCAGACGUGAAAUCCCUCGGCUUAACCGGGGAACUGCAUCUGAUACUGGAUGGCUUGAGUUCGGGAGAGGGAUGCGGAAUUCCAGGUGUAGCGGUGAAAUGCGUAGAUAUCUGGAGGAACACCGGUGGCGAAGGCGGAUCUCUGGGCCUUACCUGACGCUGAGGCGCGAAAGCUAGGGGAGCGAACAGG